GAUGAACGCUGGCGGCGUGCCUAAUACAUGCAAGUCGAACGAACAGACGAGGAGCUUUCCCCUCUGACGUUAGCGUCGCAAGGGUGAGUGACACGUGUAUACCCUACCUAUAAGACUUGGAUAACUUCGGGAAAACCGAGUUAAUACCGGCUAAUAUAUCCAACCGCACGGUUCAAUAGCAAAAGACGGUGUUGCUGGCACUUAUUGAUGUCUCCGGGCCGCUUUAGCUAGUUGGUAAUGGAACGGCUUACCAAGGCAACGCUGCGUGGCGGACAUGAGCGAGGGAACGGCCACCCGGGAACGGGAACACGGUCCAGACUCCUACGGGAGGCAGAAGUAGGGAAUCUUCCGCAAGGGGGGAAGGCCGGACGGAGCAACGCGGCGUGAGUGAUGAGGGUCUUCGGAUCGUAAAACUCUGUAUUUAGGGAGGAAGAAAUGUGUAAGUAACAAUGCCGGUAUUGACGGUACCUAAUCAGAAAGCCACGGCUAACUACGUG
rnacentral:rRNA from 1 species